AUGAUUUCAACAGAUGUCACGGCACACUGGCAACAGAGACGCUCGGCUCUCUGCAUGCCUCUGUAUCCUCCUAUUGUCCCGGCCAUGCGUCAUGAUGUCCAGUCUCCUGAUUGGGCGACGACAUGGGAUUGUUCUGGACCACAGUCGGGGGAAAUGCUUGGGAACUCCACUUCCCAGCGUGAGAGGAGACGGAGAGCAGAACGGUUCCCUGGAGGCACAGCCGAUGACCCCGCUGAGUGCAAAAUAUGCGGAGGUCACCGGAUUCCUAUUGGGCAAGAGCUAAAUAUGACUGACACCGAGCAGCAAUAACCCUUGACUCCAGAGCAGCUCGGGAGACACACUAUUUAUUUACAGGCAAAUAAAUGUCAAGCAAACAAUUCUGGAUUUCAAACAUGCCUUCAGUAGAAAACUAUCUGGGAGGUAAACUGAGGGGAGAGAGGAAUUUCAGCUUUAUCAUAGCAGCAUGUAAAAACAAAACAAAAAUACAAGAAGUGGAGAAACUUGUAACUCUUCACAGCCAUCUGUAUUUACAUCUGUGGUGGAAAAGGCUGCAUUUACUCAAGUAAUGUACCAUUUUGAGGUACUUUUACUUUAUUUGAAUAUUUCAAUUUCAUGCUCCUUUAAACCUUCACUGCACUACAUUUCAGAGGGAAAUAUUGUAGUUUUUACACCACAUUUAUCUGACAGCUGGUUAUUUUACACAUUAAGAAUUUACAGAUAAAGGAUCAAUUUAUAAAAUAUGAUACUAUGCUAUGGAUAACAAUAUCCAACAGUAUAUAAAGUAGUUAAAAGAAGACAUUUAACUUUAAGUACUUUUUGCUGUUAAUACUUUUGUACUUAUGUAUCCGGUGCGGUGCAAUAACUGUAAAGUUAAAUAAACAUUAUAAUAAAAGAUAAAUAAAUAAACACAUGCUCUCAGAUAAGGAGUUAAUCCAACCACGGCCCGGAUAUCCUGUUAAGAGGCAAACAUGUAAGUACAGCUCCAACAGAAGAUUAUGCAUGGGGCAGUUUCAGAGAUAAAGGAAAAUAUAUAUAUAUAUAUAUUGUACUUCAGUUGUGUAAAUGCCUAAACAAGUCUAUUACAUUGUGGUAAUCUUCCUUGCAUCUUGAAUAAAUUGAGGCUAUUUCACAACUUGUAUUUGGAGAUAAAUGAGAAGUUGAAGUAUAUAUUUUAGUUUGCAUCCACAUGUUCGAACAUUAAAUAAUGAUGAGCACGAGCAGCACGAGCAGCACGAGCAGCACGAGCGGCACGAGCAGGUCGAGCAGGUAAAACAUUAGUUUAUCGCUGCAUUAGUGGUAAUUAAGCUGUACAUACAGGCUUGCGCGCGCACACACACACACACACACACACACACACACACACACACACACACACACACACACACACACACACACACACACACACACCUUUCAUCAACUACCAGUAGAGGUCACUGUUCUCCUGCCACUCAUUGCACCUCCUGCGACACCAGAACGCGUGGCUGCAGCACCUUUAGCUCCUCAGGUCACAGUGUGGAGAGCUUCAGCAGCAGACACGAUGUUUCCUGUGUCAUGCUGCAACUUCAGAGAACACUUAGAUUAUAUUAUAUUAUACACCUGGUAAUACAACAAGACCAGAGUAGGCAGAGGAACAACAGGUAAUAUUAUAUCUGAAUCCAUAACGACAGAAAAGCUUUAAUGCAGUGAGAUUCAAUUGAAUAGAGAUUUUAAGGCCAUAUUUUUGGAAGUAAUUAGUAUUUUUUGAGUUUGACAAAAUGCCAAUGAGCUUUUCAUUCUGAACUAGAUAUAACACUCACCAGGUGAGGAAAGGCAUCCUGUGUCAAAAGGUUUUACACCUAAGUCAUUCAAGGACUGUGUUAAUAAUCAAGAUGUGAUCCAAUUUGUCAAUUUUCAUAAAUUAUUUCAGUUUGAGUGAAAAUGCCUCUGAAAGCUUUCAGGCCAUCAGCAGAGUCCACGUAAAGCUGCACCAGCAGGGUGGCACAAUUUCUUUCUUUCAAGUGCAUAAAAGAGAGAACAAGCUCACACUAAUCAACAAAAGGAUCCAGAAUGCAACAAAAAUAAAAGGAAAUAAAAGCAAAGGACGAGGCAUACAAGCCGACCCACCUACUCAAUGUUAGCCAGCAAUGCUACCAACCAAUAUCUCUAAAAGGUUGGUCAUCCAAAACGUACCUAGAGCUUAUUCAUGAUAAAUAUUAAUAAUAAUAUUUAUUAAUCAGCUGCAACCUCACCUCAUUAAACAUGCCAUGGUAUCUGUUUUGGAGAGAACAUUUGAAAGUAUGGGGAGUCAUUUUUGCUUUGGUUAAAAACAGUGUUUUUAUAUCAUUUGACUUCAGAAAGUUAAAUUUGAAACUGAAAUCCUGAAUACUUUAAAUCACCAGAUAUAUUUUUUAAUCCUCAAUAUUUCUAAUAAAAAAACCUUUUAACACUUUCACUUUUAUCUCUAUUUUUUUGUAUUGCUUUCAGCUUAUAUUCUCUUAGGGAACUUUAGCAUUGUUCUAAAAUUAUUCUAUUAAUAUAAUUAUUAAUGCAGGAGUAGUUGUGGUAAUAAUGCUAUAUUUGCACAGAGAAGAAAUACUAAAAAUAUUAAACAAAAACUGUGCAGAAGAGGACAGAAAUCCAGUAAAGGUGUAAAGGUUGAAUUAUAAAUGAAAUAUUUGAGAAAUGAAAACAAUUAUUAUUGUAUAUAAUUAGAAUAAACGUACUACUAAUACAGUGGUUACGGACGCAUUAUCCACUGCCUGGCUGAUAUAAAGUGAAAUGCUCUGCACACCCACACAGGUGUUUUCACUUACUCUGUCUGAUUAGACAUCUGGUCAGGCUGAAAUCAUGUGAGGACUAAUAAUAAGAACGAUAAAGGUGUGAUUUGUCCCGCCCUAACAGGUGCAACAAAGCCAAC
rnacentral:lncRNA from 1 species